UCCGGGUUUCGCCCGGCAGUCUCCCUAGAAUAUUCAGCUAACGCAUUAAGUUCACCGCCUGGGGACUACGGCCGCAAGGUUAAAACUCAAAGGAAUAGGCGGGGGCCCGCACAAGCAGCGGAGCGUGUGGUUUAAUUCGAGGCAACGCGAAGAACCUUACCUGGGUUUGACAUGCAUAGGAAAUUUUGGUGAAAGCCAGAACCUCCCGCAAGGGACUUAUGCGCAGGUGGUGCAUGGCUGUCGUCAGCUCGUGCCGUGAGGUGUUGGGUUAAGUCCCGCAA
rnacentral:misc_RNA from 1 species